rnacentral:misc_RNA from 1 species
AAGGUGGGGCUGAUGACUGGGGUGAAGUCGUAACAAGGUAUCCGUACCGGAAGGUGCGGAUGGAUCACCUCCUAACAGGGAGACAAAACAAUGAUUUUGAUGUCUGAGUAUUUCAUUCUUAGGCCGAAAUCCUGUCACCUUAGGUCGAUCGGUACCUCAACAUUUUUUCAAAGAUUGGUGAGCAAUCAUCAAGAGAUUGGAAUAGAUGUUCAGUUCCUAAACUUUGUCUAGGUCACACCCCGCAAGGGAAGAGUCCCCUGGGCCAUUAGCUCAGGUGGUUAGAGCGCACCCCUGAUAAGGGUGAGGUCCCUGGUUCAAGUCCAGGAUGGCCCAUUCGGUGUUGGGGGUUUAGCUCAGUUGGUAGAGCGCCUGCUUUGCAAGCAGGAUGUCAGGAGUUCGAGUCUCCUAACCUCCACUGACAGAACUCAAUCUCCAUUGUCCGGUAACUCGGAGGAUGAAUUCGAUGGCGUGUGAUUUAGAUGUGUCCACUAGAUAGGACCCUAGCUUCCUGUCAUUCCGAACAAGUAAUUAUUGCUUGAUUGUUUGAUAUGAUGCUGGGCUCAGAUUAAUCGAAAGAUUAAUUUGAUUUCUAGUAGAACCUUGACAACUGCAUAAGUAAGUCUGGAAAAACGAAGC